rnacentral:rRNA from 1 species
UACGUAGGCAGCAAGCGUUGUUCGGAGUUACUGGGCGUAAAGGGUGUGUAGGCGGUUCUUUAAGUUUGAUGUGAAAUCUCCCGGCUUAACCGGGAGGGUGCGCCGAAUACUGAGGGACUAGAGUACGGGAGAGGAAAGUGGAAUUCCUGGUGUAGCGGUGAAAUGCGUAGAUAUCAGGAGGAACACCGGUGGUGUAGACGGCUUUCUGGACCGUAACUGACGCUGAGACACGAAAGCGUGGGUAGCAAACAGG